GGCGGGGUGCUGCUCAGCCCGUUCCUGAUUUAUGUGGUGCUGGCGCUGGUGCUGACCGGUGCCCUGCGGAUGCUGGUGCGGGUAACCGGGCUGGGCCGCUGGAUCUGGCACGAAGCACUGUUCGAUUGUGCCCUG
rnacentral:sRNA from 16 species